rnacentral:rRNA from 1 species
CAGUCGAACGAAGCACCUUAUUUGAUUUUCUUCGGAACUGAAGAUUUGGUGACCCAUUGACGGACGGGUGAGUAACGCGUGGGUAACCUGCCCUGUACAGGGGGAUAACAGUUAGAAAUGACUGCUAAUACCGCAUAAGACCACAGCACCGCAUGGUGCAGGGGUAAAAACUCCGGUGGUACAGGAUGGACCCGCGUCUGGUUAGCUGGUUGGUGAGGUAACGGCUCACCAAGGCGACGAUCAGUAGCCGGCUUGAGAGAGUGAACGGCCACAUUGGGACUGAGACACGGCCCAAACUCCUACGGGAGGCAGCAGUGGGGAAUAUUGCACAAUGGGGGGAACCCUGAUGCAGCGACGCCGCGUGAGUGAAGAAGUAUUUCGGUAUGUAAAGCUCUAUCAGCAGGGAAGAAAAUGACGGUACCUGACUAAGAAGCCCCGGCUAACUACGUGCCAGCAGCCGCGGUAAUACGUAGGGGGCAAGCGUUAUCCGGAAUUACUGGGUGUAAAGGGUGCGUAGGUGGUAUGGCAAGUCAGAAGUGAAAACCCAGGGCUUAACUCUGGGACUGCUUUUGAAACUGUCAGACUGGAGUGCAGGAGAGGUAAGCGGAAUUCCUAGUGUAGCGGUGAAAUGCGUAGAUAUUAGGAGGAACAUCAGUGGCGAAGGCGGCUUACUGGACUGAAACUGACACUGAGGCACGAAAGC